CGCAGAGCCAGAGAGGGAAAAUCACAUUCACCUGGAGAAGCGCGUGCCAAAUGCAGGUCACCGCUGUCCCUAAAAAAAGGAUUAAGGAUAGAUUUGAGUUGGCCUGAUGGAGAGAUCUUCCAGACUGCUCCGGCCCAUGGAGGAUGCAGAGCAUCACAUAAGAUCAAACAUUGAUAAACCAGUACUUUACCAGUGUUUUAUCAAUAUCUUUAAAGAACGAGGAGUUUUUGCCACUGAAUUCAUAUCCAAAGGAGGCUUUGUUGUGGAGUACCGAGGUGAACUGCUUACACAACAGGAGAGCGAGGUCCGAGCUGAUCAGUACAAUGAUUCUGAAAAGGUGUUUAUUUUCAAUGGAAAGGAAGAACAUGGUGCAUUGAUGCAUCUGAAGAGGACUCCUCCCUUGGGAGACUCGUUAAUGAUGAUCACAAAAGACACAAUCUCAAAAUGAAGGCCAUACAAGCAAACGAUGAGCCACACUUGUGCCUCUUCGCGACUCGAGAUAUUGUAGUUGGCAAAGAGUUGACUUAUAGUUACGGUGAUUCUGACUGGCCAUGGACAACACAGGUCAUCAAAGCUGAUGUGUCGUCCAGCCCAAAACCUAUGGUAAGAACUUUACUAAAGUCAUAGAUCAAUAUGAGUUUCUUUUUUUCUAUUUUCACAUUUACUAUUUCACUUUAACAAAUACACAUUUAUAGUCUAACAUCAAUUGCACUGGAAUGCAGUGCACUUGUUGCAUACUAA